UGUGAACUGAGCUAUAUUUCCAGCCCAGGAUUUUUGUUUUGUUUUGCUUUUUGUUUGUUUUUCAUUUUUUGAGAAUAGUUUCUUUGUAGAGCUCUGGCUGUCCUGGAACUCACUCUGUAGACUCGUCAGGCCUUGAAUUCAGAGAUCUGCCUGCUUCUGCGUCCCCAGUGCUGGGAUUAAUGAUAUGCACCAUUCUACCUGGCCUCUGAAGAACUCACAGUCUGUUUUCCACAAUACGAAGAUCUAUAUUCUAUGCUACCAUCUCUCUACCCCUUCUGUCUGUGGUGGGAACAUAUAGACAAUGUGUUCUUUUGUGUUUAGGUCUCAAUGCACAGCAGCCUUCUGCUCCAGAACAGCAUGUUCGCUUCUUACUAGGCCCUGUGGAAGGCAGUGAAGAGAAGAAGUUGACUCUCACGGCCACCAGUGUGCCCUCCCUCACCACCCACAGACUUGUUCGUGGUCCAGCAUUCAGAAACCUGAAGAUCGGUGUGGGGCAUCGUUUGGAUGUCCAGGCUUCUGGUGUGCUUGGUGAGUCUCCCCACAGGAUUACACGGUUCGUGGCCUCCUGGGCAAAGCUACAGACAACUUCUGUGAAGAUGGGCAGUUGAUAGAGAAGACAACAUAUG
rnacentral:lncRNA from 1 species